CCACUUCCAAGUGGGAAUACUGAACUCCUGCAUAGACCCACUAGGCUUGUGAUGUUCAAUCAUAACCAGUUGACAAGUGGAGCACUUAGCUACAAACUCUGCAAUAUCCCUCUUUAUUCAGUCCACCAAUAGAUUUUCCAUAGAUCGCGAUACAUCUUUAUGGCUCUGAAUAAAUCGAGUAACGCGCAUCAUGCGCUUCUUAAAUAAUUUGCCAUCUUAACUUAUCAACACAC
rnacentral:lncRNA from 1 species